AUUUUUGUAAAUUCCCUCCAAAGGACAUCACUCACCUCCAAAGCGCCUUCAUCCCUGCACUGAUCGUGAAGAAACCCUCUCACCACACACCAUCACCACUGACCACUCACCAUCGCCCAAAAAUCCUCUCACCAUCGCGAAGAAACCCACUCAUCACCACUCACCACUGACCGUCACUCCUAUUCGCCCUCAUCUCUGCGCUUCUCACUUUCGCCAACCCUGUCGCGCACAACCCUCACCUUCGCCAUUCUCACUGUCGCUGUUACUGCACUGAUCAUCGCUCUUCUUCUCCGUUCUACCCUAAUCGUCUUCUCCGUGCCCUAAUUGCUGAUGACCGUCGCUGUUCUGACCAUCGCUGUUGCUGUGCCACUGUCACCAUUGUCAUCUCUGUGCUUCUCAUCAUCGUCUUCUCUGUGCUCACAUCGUUGAAUAUGGUGAAGUGGAUGCUGUUUUUGUUAAUGCUAUACUAGCUGUGUGGGGUUCAGCAACGGAAUCUUGAGGCAAGUUCUAGCUGUGUGAUCCCCCAAGAAGUCAGUGCUCACCGCCUCACCCACCCAGGCUCUACCAUCAUCUUCUAAUUGCUUCUCACUGCUCACCCAGCACCACCAGCGUCUGCUGUCUUUGCCGCCGCUCCUCUGUUUUACAGCCUCUGAGCUGCGAACUCCAUCGCCGCUUCCUGAGGCUAUCUUCAACAGGUAAUGUGAAGUCUUUGCUUUGUGAAAUAGCCUACAUGGCCUCUUGGUGACGAACAACUCUAGAACAUUAGUUUAAUUUGUAGCCUCUCUUUCUCUGAAAAAGUUGAGCACAUUGAGAUCUUCAGGAUGUUUGGAGGGAGGGGGAGAGGGAGAAAAAGUACAAAAGGUAGACAAGAAAUCACGUGGUGUAUUGAGAGUAAAGCAAAGCUGAAUAAGGGUAACAAUGAAGAUCAAACAAUGAAGAUUAAGCUGAUUAUUAUUGUGGUUUAUUGGCUAAGAUAGAGUACUGUUUAGAAUCUUUACAUGUAUGGUUGAAUAAUGACUUUUAUUAGAAGAUACUUAUGUAUUUAGGAUAUAUUUUUUUUGUAGAGUAUUAGUAGUAAAUUCUAAGUGGUAUUAUGGUUAUUUUGAUAUGGCUAUAUUUACUUUAGUGUGAGAUGUAUGAAUUUUUACAAUUAAUAUAUUUUGGUUAGAGAUAA